rnacentral:rRNA from 1 species
AUCUUCCACAAUGGGCGAAAGCCUGAUGGAGCGACGCCGCGUGAAGGAUGAAGGUCUUCGGAUCGUAAACUUCUAAAAGAGGGACGAUAAUGACGGUACCUCUUGAAAAGCACCGGCUAACUCCGUGCCAGCAGCCGCGGUAAUACGGAGGGUGCUAGCGUUAUCCGGAAUCACUGGGCGUAAAGGGCGCGUAGGCGGUCUGUUAAGUCUGAUGUUAAAGACUGGGGCUCAACCCCAGCAAUGCGUUGGAUACUGGCAGACUCGACGGUUGGAGAGGCAAGUGGAAUUACCAGUGUAGCGGUGGAAUGCGUAGAUACUGGUAGGAACACCCAUUGCGAAGGCAGCUUGCUGGACAACACGUGACGCUGAGGCGCGAAAGUGUGGGGAGCAAACCGG